rnacentral:misc_RNA from 1 species
UAAUAAGUGUUCUACUGCACUUUUUAAAAAUAGUACUCACCUUGUGUGCAAUGUUGUGUGAAAUUCUCGCUCUCGAGUGGUAUUUUCACACCUACACCAACCUAUAAUUUUGAACCACUUUGUCUGAAAAACUAUUAUGAAUACUUAAUUCAAAAUA